GAGAAAGCAGUAGCCGCGGUAAUGCGUAGGUCCCGAGCGUUGUCCGGAUUUAUUGGGCGUAAAGCGAGCGCAGGCGGUUAGAUAAGUCUGAAGUUAAAGGCUGUGGCUUAACCAUAGUACGCUUUGGAAACUGUUUAACUUGAGUGCAAGAGGGGAGAGUGGAAUUCCAUGUGUAGCGGUGAAAUGCGUAGAUAUAUGGAGGAACACCGGUGGCGAAAGCGGCUCUCUGGCUUGUAACUGACGCUGAGGCUCGAAAGCGUGGGGAGCAAACAGGAUUAGAUACCCCAGUAGUCCCUGUCUCUUAUACA
rnacentral:rRNA from 1 species